rnacentral:rRNA from 1 species
UUAGAGUUUGAUCCUGGCUCAGGAUGAACGCUGGCGGCAUGCCUAAUACAUGCAAGUCGAACGAGAGACCUUCGGGUCUCUAGUGGCGAACGGGUGAGUAACACGUAGGGAACCUGCCCGCGCACCGGGAAUACGCUCUGGAAACGGAGAACAAAUCCCGAUGUACAGGAAGGAGGCAUCUUCUUUCUGUGAAACAUCCUUUCGGGGAUGGGGCGCGGAUGGACCUGCGGUGCAUUAGUUGGUUGGCGGGGUAAAGGCCCACCAAGACGAUGAUGCAUAGCCGGCCUGAGAGGGCGGACGGCCACAUUGGGACUGAGACACGGCCCAGACUCCUGCGGGAGGCAGCAGUAGGGAAUUUUCGUCAAUGGGCGCAAGCCUGAACGAGCGAUGCCGCGUGAGUGAAGAAGGCCUUCGGGUCGUAAAGCUCUGUUGCGGGGGAAAAAAGGCAGCAUCAGGAAAUGGGUGCUGACUGAUGGUGCCCCGCCAGAAAGUCACGGCUAACUACGUGCCAGCAGCCGCGGUAAUACGUAGGUGGCGAGCGUUAUCCGGAAUGAUUGGGCGUAAAGGGUGCGCAGGCGGUCCUGCAAGUCUGGAGUGAAACGCAUGAGCUCAACUCAUGCAUGGCUUUGGAAACUGGAGGACUGGAGAGCAGGAGAGGGCGGUGGAACUCCAUGUGUAGCGGUAAAAUGCGUAGAUAUAUGGAAGAACACCAGUGGCGAAGGCGGCCGCCUGGCCUGUUGCUGACGCUGAGGCACGAAAGCGUGGGGAGCAAAUAGGAUUAGAUACCCUAGUAGUCCACGCCGUAAACGAUGAGGACCAAGUGUUGGGGGUGAAACCUCAGUGCUGAAGUUAACGCAGUGAGUCCUCCGCCUGGGGAGUAUGCACGCAAGUGUGAAACUCAAAGGAAUUGACGGGGGCCCGCACAAGCGGUGGAGUAUGUGGUUUAAUUCGAAGCAACGCGAAGAACCUUACCUGACCUUGACAUCCCGAUGACCGGACAGUAAUGUGUCUUUCCCUUCGGGGCAUUGGAGACAGGUGGUGCAUGGUUGUCGUCAGCUCGUGUCGUGAGAUGUUGGGUUAAGUCCCGCAACGAGCGCAACCCUUAUCCUUAGUAGCCAGCAGUAAGAUGGGAACUCUAGGGAGACAGCCGGGGAUAACCCGGAGGAAGGCGGGGAUGACGUCAAACAUCAUGCCCCUUAUGGCCAGGGCUACACACGUGCUACAAUGGCGUAAACAAAGGGAAGCGAGACUGUGAAGUUAAGCAAAUCCCAGAAAUAACGUCCCAGUUCGGAUUGGAGGCUGCAACCCGCCUCCAUGAAGUUGGAAUCGCUAGUAAUCGCGGAUCAGCAUGCCGCGGUGAAUACGUUCCCGGGCCUUGUACACACCGCCCGUCA